GGUUAAGCGACUAAGCGUACACGGUGGAUGCCUAGGCAAUCAGAGGCGAUGAAGGACGUGCUAAUCUGCGAUAAGCGUCGGUAAGGUGAUAUGAACCGUUAUACCCGACGAUUUCCGAAUGGGGAAACCCAGUGCAAUUCGUUGCACUAUCGUUUGAUGAAUACAUAGUCAAACGAAGCGAACCGGGGGAACUGAAACAUCUCAGUACCCCGAGGAAAAGAAAUCAACCGAGAUUCCCCUAGUAGCGGCGAGCGAACGGGGAGCAGCCCAGAGUCUUAAUCAGCAUUAGUAUCAGGAGAACGGUCUGGAAAGUCCGGCAGUAAAGGGUGAUAGCCCCGUAUCUGAAGAU
rnacentral:rRNA from 1 species